AUACUUACCUGGCAGAGGAGAUACCAUGAUCACGAAGGUGGUUUUCCAGGGUGAUGCUUAUCCAUUGCAAUCCGGAUGUGAUGAUCCAUGAUCCCUGUGAUUUCCUCAAAUGCGGGAAACUCGACUGUAUAAUUUGUAGUAGUGAGGCAAUGCAUUCCCACUCUCCCCUG
ensembl:snRNA U1 U1 spliceosomal RNA